UGUCGACAAAUAGGCUCUCUGGUCAAAUUCCUCCAAGUUUAGCUAGCUUAAACUUUAUAAGCUACCUAAACCUAUCCUUCAAUAACUUAACUGGCCGAGUACCAGUUGGAAAUCAACUUCAAACUUUAGGUGAUCCAUCUACUAUAUAUGAAGGGAACGUGGAGCUAUGUGGGCCCUCACUAUCAAGAAGUUGCGAAGAAAAGAAUUUAUCGUAUGCUCAUGCCGUCAAGGAUGAAGGUAAAGAUGGGUCAAAAGGUUGCUCGUGGUUUUAUGCUGGUACGGUCUCGGGUUUUGUUACGGGCUUCAUGGGACUUGUUGGUAGCUUGCACUUCAUUAGGAUUUGGAGGGUAACUUACUUUGAGAUGAUAGAGAAUGUUUACGUUUUUCUAAUGAUUUCAAUUAUACAAACUCUUGCCAAACUAAGGAGGAAGAUUUUCUAAUGAGGACCCGUGAACCAACCCAAAAGUAUGUAUGGACCAAGUGAUCUGACCAGCCAAGCUAGAGACUCUAAGAACCUAAUGGCGCAACUUCUUUUAUAAUCCUUAGCGGGCUGCCUGAAUAAAUUGGGCUUGCAUAUGUUCGACGCCUAAAUGUCUUGGAAAUAACUGAAGUCGAAGCAGGUGCAGAAGCGGGAUAAUAGCAGAAGUUGAAGCAGAAGACGAAGUGUGCGUGUGGAUCACCAACCAAUUACGUCUAAGUAGAAGCAGAAGCUUAAAGACAUGUAUGGUGCAGCUGACGGUAGGGCUCCUGGUAGGAAUAACGGGGCUGAAGAGGUCAUUUGACUAGGUGGUUCGUCGAAACAUAUGUAUAUGCCAUGAAUGGAUGUAUGGCAUAUGGUAAAAGGGAAGUUGGCAUGUAUAAUUUACUACAACAAUGAUAUAUGUUGCUCUCUUUGAGGUUAAGUUAUUGUUCACUGUGUACUGUAUCACUGAUUAGCUUAUCAAAUUUUUUACUUUUGCA